rnacentral:rRNA from 1 species
UACAGAGGUCUCAAGCGUUGUUCGGAGUCAUUGGGCGUAAAGGGUGCGUAGGCGGCGCGGUAAGUCGGGUGUGAAAUCUCGGAGCUUAACUCCGAAACUGCAUUCGAUACUGCCGUGCUUGAGGACUGGAGAGGAGACUGGAAUUUACGGUGUAGCGGUGAAAUGCGUAGAUAUCGUAAGGAAGACCAGUGGCGAAGGCGGGUCUCUGGACAGUUCCUGACGCUGAGGCACGAAGGCCAGGGGAGCAAACGGG